ACUGCUACGAUUUAUCAAAAUGCCAUAAUAAACUUCAAGCGUUUAUGUUUAUUUCAAAUGUCAGUACACUGACUGAUAAAAUUAUUACAGUGAAAUUGAUUUCAGACCGCAAUCAUUUUAGAAGGUUUAAAUGCCAAAGCAACCAAACAUCUGUUUUGUUUAACUUUUUAGCCAACUACAGUCCCGUUCAAAACUAUAGGGAGAAUGUAUAAAAUUGAUUUGCCGGUGGACAACCUUUCCAAUGUGGCAGUGGAACGCCGACUGGCCGCGGAGGCUGCGUUCCAGGCUGGGAUCUUCAAGCAUUGGAGAGAAGAGAACUGGAGGAGAUGGAGGGUCAAUGAGAGAAGGAGAGAAGGCAUUCGAUUACAUAUUAGAGACUAAGGGAGAUUGAAAAGCAGAGAGCUGCUGUCUGGGACUUCCAGCGUACGGAGCAGAACAGAGAGGACGAAGAGGAGGAGAGGAAAGCAAUGGCGCUACAGAAGUAGAAGAGGAUUGAGAUGGACCGAUAUGACAAACGGCUGGCCAGAGAGCAGCACAAAUAAUAAUCAUAGAACACAACUACACUGAGACACUUCACUCAUUACAUUCUUUCUUUACAGAUACUUGUCAGCGGUACCUGGCCAAGCAGCUGUACACCAGCCGACCCACAGCCCAGAACCAUCCGGUUCAGCAGCAGCUCACGCUGGGGGAUCACCAGCACAGACUCACCGCACAAUACGGGAUCUCAGAUUCAGAUGAUCGGGACAACAACAACAAUAAAAUCAAGUUUAUGGUAUAGGCACACGUUACAUGUCUUUUAUCCCUAAGAUUUAGUCACGAGGUCAAAUGUUGAAGUGUUCUGCAACUUAUUCUCUCAGGAGCUGUAUUUGAUGUAUAAAAUGACUAUCUAGCUGUUCUUUUAUGUUUCAUGUGUCGUGGUCAGUAUCUAAUUUGGCUUAUCUUUUGAAGAUAAACAUGCAUGUUACCAUCUUUAGACAUGAAUGCUAAGAGUAAUUGAAAUGACAACCUGAUGAUGCUGCUUUUGGUUCAGAUUGUUCCAAGUUCUUUUUAUUUAAUCAAUCACAUAUUUAGUUACACGUAGCUGAUUCAUAAUGCAGAUAGUUAGUCAUUGGGCCCAUAACAUACAGUACCAGAAACCCUCCAAACAGUGAUCCCAACCCACUUCACUUCAGUCUCAACCAAUGGCACGACCACACUAGCCCUGUCCCAGAUCGGUUUGUACUGUCUUUCCAACUCCUACGACUUUAGCAUGAUAACAACCAUAGGAGUUUGCUAUACAACCCAAACAGAUCUGGGACCAGGGUGUGAAUUCACUACUGUACCUUCCAGUCCCCCAAAUCCAUUUUACUAGUGUUGCACCCCAAACAAAGCACACAGAGGCACGCUGUCUCCCCUCAGGCAGUGAAAUACAUAGUGUACAUAGUGUCCCGCCCCUCCCUCCAUCACGAAUAUAAAUCCAUGAAUGUCAUGUCCUAAAAUAAGCUGUUGCUGUCAUUCUCCUCUAUAUGCAAUUCUUAUUCACUUUUUUUAUUUGCUUUUAUGUUGUAAGUAUAAAAAACAGGAAAGGAAAGUAACAGAGAGGAAAAAACAAACACUAGCGCUAAGUCUGGCUUAGACGAUCUCCUCACUGACCAUGUAAGAAGCAGAGCCAGAUAGAUAUAUAGGCAGGCUGGCUGGCAGGCAGUAGAGUGAGUAUCUGUGUGUUCAGUAGUUCACUCAUUCAAAGCAAACAUUUGUCCUGAAAUCACACCAUGAUGAACACAGAUGGUUAGCAGCUCUAUUGGUACCCUCCCCAUAUAGUGCACUUUUGACCAGGGCAUAUGGUUAUUUAUCUGAACACAAAGGGCUCUGGUCAUAAGUAGUGCACUAUAUAGGGAGCCAUUUGUGACGCAAUCCAUAGUUGUGAUAGAAUAACUGGCAUAUUACUUCAUUUUCUCAUUCCCAUAUGAAAAUAGAUUUCUGAAAAGAAAUGUUUUUGUCCUGAGUGUGUCUGUAACAGCAAACUACAGGGAGCUGGGCUCACUCAAACCUCUCGUUCAGACCCACUGUCUUUCUGCCAAGCCAGAGACAAUCCCACUUUCUCUAUCCCAUCUCCCUGGGGAUGCACUGAACAGUAACGGUUUGGCUUGCAGUCAGACCUGGGUUCAAAUAGUAUUCACCCUUUCUCAAAUACUUCAAGCUGUGCUUGAUUGAGAUUGCCUGGCACAAUGGAACAAAUAGAGUAGUCCCAAAGGUGCAAACCCUGGUCUCUGGCGAUCCAGGCAAGCCCAAUCUAACUCUUCUUUGAAGUAAAAAUGAUCUUAUUUGAACCUGGGUCUGUCUCAGAAUAGGCUGUAGGCUAGAUUGACUGGGUGAGCAGUGAGAGCAGAGCCAGCACAUUGCAUAUGCUCCCUGUGGUGCUUCAUCACAAGCUAGCUCACUGCAUCCCUCCUUGCCUCAUCAUCACACUGCCUCAGCACAAAAAGUGUAUGAAAUGGCAACCUAGUCCCAUAAUUAGUGCACUACAUAGGGAAUAAAUAGCAUUUUCAGACACAGUACAUAGACUCUCAACAGAUACUCACUGGACUGCAAAGGGACACUUUAAAGUCAGGAAACAAAACAUUGAUGUACAUGAGGAACAUUAGCCUACUUUUUAACCUCUGCUUUCAAUAGGUGGGUUUUGAUUCUACUGUAUAUUUUAAAAUGACAUUAGCUACUGAUUCAUCUCGACACCCAGAACCAAAUCUCACAUGCGCACUUCUACUAGUAGUGAUGUAAAAUGUAUGUUAUUAUAUUUUUAGUUUUCUUUUUGAGCGUUGUUGUAACAUGAAAUGGUGUGAAGAUACAUUUUUUGCCUUUUAGUUUUUUUCUGUACUAUUGAAUAUUUGUUUUAACAGCCAAAUCACCGUCAUCACCUUCAAAACAAGUAUUCAUUCAUAGGUUCGUUGUUACAAAACACAAAUGAAAUGUAUUUUUAAGUCAACUUUAAAGUAAACUUAAAACACACAUUUUUAUCCAACAAACUCAUCGAUAAAUAACAAUAAAGAAAAAAGUGAUCUUUCUAGGUCUCGUUCCUCUCGAGAGAGAUACCUCUGUUCUCCUUCUCUAAAUGCUUGUUUCUGUCUGCUUCUUGUCAUCAUUCUUACCAUUGUCUAAUUCAAAACAAAGAGUUUUUGGCAUGUAAAUAUUAUUCCUACUCAGCCCUACAAAGAACACAUUCUACACAUUAGAUGCAUAAAGCAACCAAUCUACGCAUAUGCCUUUCAGCCCAAUCUGCUGAUCAGGUAAGAGCCUGUUUUGGAUUGCCAGCGUGCAUUGUUCAUGGCUUGAAUGAAAGAAA